AGAGUUUGAUCAUGGCUCAGAUUGAACGCUGGCGGCAGGCCUAACACAUGCAAGUCGAGCGGUAGCACAGAGAGCUUGCUCUCGGGUGACGAGCGGCGGACGGGUGAGUAAUGUCUGGGAAACUGCCUGAUGGAGGGGGAUAACUACUGGAAACGGUAGCUAAUACCGCAUAACGUCGCAAGACCAAAGUGGGGGACCUUCGGGCCUCAUGCCAUCAGAUGUGCCCAGAUGGGAUUAGCUAGUAGGUGGGGUAACGGCUCACCUAGGCGACGAUCCCUAGCUGGUCUGAGAGGAUGACCAGCCACACUGGAACUGAGACACGGUCCAGACUCCUACGGGAGGCAGCAGUGGGGAAUAUUGCACAAUGGGCGCAAGCCUGAUGCAGCCAUGCCGCGUGUGUGAAGAAGGCCUUCGGGUUGUAAAGCACUUUCAGCGGGGAGGAAGGCGAUAAGGUUAAUAACCUUGUCGAUUGACGUUACCCGCAGAAGAAGCACCGGCUAACUCCGUGCCAGCAGCCGCGGUAAUACGGAGGGUGCAAGCGUUAAUCGGAAUUACUGGGCGUAAAGCGCACGCAGGCGGUCUGUCAAGUCGGAUGUGAAAUCCCCGGGCUCAACCUGGGAACUGCAUUCGAAACUGGCAGGCUAGAGUCUUGUAGAGGGGGGUAGAAUUCCAGGUGUAGCGGUGAAAUGCGUAGAGAUCUGGAGGAAUACCGGUGGCGAAGGCGGCCCCCUGGACAAAGACUGACGCUCAGGUGCGAAAGCGUGGGGAGCAAACAGGAUUAGAUACCCUGGUAGUCCACGCCGUAAACGAUGUCGAUUUGGAGGUUGUGCCCUUGAGGCGUGGCUUCCGGAGCUAACGCGUUAAAUCGACCGCCUGGGGAGUACGGCCGCAAGGUUAAAACUCAAAUGAAUUGACGGGGGCCCGCACAAGCGGUGGAGCAUGUGGUUUAAUUCGAUGCAACGCGAAGAACCUUACCUGGUCUUGACAUCCACAGAACUUUCCAGAGAUGGAUUGGUGCCUUCGGGAACUGUGAGACAGGUGCUGCAUGGCUGUCGUCAGCUCGUGUUGUGAAAUGUUGGGUUAAGUCCCGCAACGAGCGCAACCCUUAUCCUUUGUUGCCAGCGGUCCGGCCGGGAACUCAAAGGAGACUGCCAGUGAUAAACUGGAGGAAGGUGGGGAUGACGUCAAGUCAUCAUGGCCCUUACGACCAGGGCUACACACGUGCUACAAUGGCAUAUACAAAGAGAAGCGACCUCGCGAGAGCAAGCGGACCUCAUAAAGUAUGUCGUAGUCCGGAUUGGAGUCUGCAACUCGACUCCAUGAAGUCGGAAUCGCUAGUAAUCGUAGAUCAGAAUGCUACGGUGAAUACGUUCCCGGGCCUUGUACACACCGCCCGUCACACCAUGGGAGUGGGUUGCAAAAGAAGUAGGUAGCUUAACCUUCGGGAGGGCGCUUACCACUUUGUGAUUCAUGACUGGGGGUGAAGUCGUAAACAAGGUAACCGUAGGGGGAACCUGCGGUUGGAUCACCU
rnacentral:rRNA from 1 species